CGGGGCUCAACGCCUUGUAAUUGGAAUGAUGGGAAUCUAAACCCAUUCCAGAGUAUCAAUUGGAGGGCAAGUCUGGUGCCAGCAGCCGCGGUAAUUCCAGCUCCAAUAGCGUAUAUUAAAAUUGUUGCAGUUAAAAAGCUCGUAGUUGAAUUUCUGCAGCAUCGCCACGGCCCCACGGGCCACGCGUUGCGGCUUAUUUCGGACUUGCGUGCAUCUCCGAAUGUUUACUUUGAGAAAAUUAGAGUGCUCAAAGCAGGCCCUAGCCUGAAUACUUUAGCAUGGAAUAAUAAAGUAGGACUUUGGUUCUAUUUUGUUGGUUUAGCGCCAAAGUAAUGGUUAAUAGGAACAGUUGGGGGCAUUCGUAUUUAACUGUCAGAGGUGAAAUUCUUAGAUUUGUUAAAGACGAACCACUGCGAAAGCAUUUGCCAAGGAUGUUUUCAUUAAUCAAGAAC
rnacentral:rRNA from 1 species